ACGAACGCUGGCGGCGUGCUUAACACCUGCAAGUCGAACGGAAAGGCCCUGCUUUUGUGGGGUGCUCGAGUGGCGAACGGGUGAGUAACACGUGAGUAACCUGCCCUUGACUUUGGGAUAACUUCAGGAAACUGGGGCUAAUACCGGAUAGGAGCUCCUGCUGCAUGGUGGGGGUUGGAAAGUUUCGGCGGUUGGGGAUGGACUCGCGGCUUAUCAGCUUGUUGGUGGGGUAGUGGCUUACCAAGGCUUUGACGGGUAGCCGGCCUGAGAGGGUGACCGGCCACAUUGGGACUGAGAUACGGCCCAGACUCCUACGGGAGGCAGCAGUGGGGAAUAUUGCACAAUGGGCGGAAGCCUGAUGCAGCAACGCCGCGUGCGGGAUGACGGCCUUCGGGUUGUAAACCGCCUUCGCCUGUGACGAAGCGUGAGUGACGGUAAUGGGUAAAGAAGCACCGGCUAACUACGUG
rnacentral:rRNA from 1 species